ACGUCCGUAGCUCAGUUGGUUAGAGCGCAUCCUUGACAUGGAUGAGGUCGGUGAUUCGAAUUCACUCGGACGUACCA
rnacentral:tRNA from 2 species